UUGUGAAAUAGAUACCACAUGCUAUUUAUUUUUAUUGAUUUACACAGUGUUGAUUACUAUAGCGACUAGGAACAUACCAACACAAUUUAAAAACACAUCAUAAUGAAGUCCAAAGCAACCCUAUUUCUUGUUGCUAAAAUAGCAACGAACUACCAAAUCCUGUGAUACUGUGAAGCCUUUUGGACAAGUGCCUAGUAGGGUUUGGGAGACAAUGCAAGCAAAGCAUUUGUCUGCUUUGUUGCUAGACCAGUUGAUCCCCAGUAGCCCAAGGCCUGUUUGCCGGACCACACUUCAACCCAUGACUGAAAUAAAACGGUGCUGACAACAUUGGGAUUCCCUCCAGGUGUCAAACUGCCCAUACCAGAAGAAUCCCCAGGAUACAGAAUCUCCUAGGCUACAGAAUAUUACUGAUGCUUCCCAUACAGCUGCUGGGAAAAGGGAAGGGCACUGUCAGCAGAGCCUACAAUAACAGCACAUCCCAGCCAUCUAAACUGUGUUCCUGUCUCAGCUGAGGUGAAUGUUAAAUAGCAUACUGAAUUCAAAGGAAUGAGAAUUUCACCCCCAAAAGCACAAGCCAAGCAUUUACCAGUACAGACACAGAGACAUACGACAAGCAAGAAGCACAACUCUGGCGAAGCCGAAGUGCUGCUUCCCCGUGUCUGCACCUCUGACACGUUCCUCGCCACCACCACCCUCCCACUUUGAGGGGCAGCAUCUCAGGUACGGCUCUUGUUUCUAGUUGGAAGAUGAAGCUCGAGGUGCAGGCUGCGUGUCCCUGCGAGGGACGUGCCUGUUCCUCUGCCUCUCUUUGACCCCAGCUGCUCAGUUUGGCUGGACCAGAAAAUCCUGCUGCUAAAGGGUAUGUCAGACUGACCUGAGAGAAAAGCAACAGACUGAGGCGAGGGAAAGGCUGCUUUGUAUCAAUGCAACAAAUGAAUCUGGCUCAAGCAAAUAAGAUAUUUAACUAAGCAAAUGUUCAUACCCUUUACUCAUUACCAUUAAAUAGCUGGGAUUGGACUGAAAUUAUUCUACUGGACUCUGUUCAUAAUAGGAGUUUAUUUCUUGAAACAGUUUUCCCAAAAAUGGUACGAAACAAUAAUCUCCAUUCUACAACACAUAUUAAUGGGAAAAAACGCCCCAUAGGUAGGUACAGGACUGGGGAACCAGAAAUUCCAGACAUUUAGUGAUACAAAUUAAAGAUGUAGCUGCCUAAUUUUUAGAUACAGAACUGCAAUACUGGAAUUCAGAAACCAGAAAUUAUGUACCUAUGGUCUAUCCACAGAAAAAUAAGUCAGGAACCUUAAAACAAGAAUAUGAAAAUCCACUCCUCUUGGCACCUCCAGGUU